ACCAGGCUGGCCUCGAACUCAGAAAUCCGCCUGCCUCUGCCUCCCUAUGUUUAGUUGUAGACAUAUCAAGGCAAGGAUAUUCAGCAAUGAAGAGGUAACGUGAUUGAGCUAAGAUCAAAUAAUUGCAUACUGACAGCAGGCAGUCGUAUUAGAGCCCAGGGCAGUGGCCCUGAGCUUCGGCCGCUUUCGGUAAACUGUAAUUUAUCAUCGUGUCCAUCCUGGGAAAUUAUUGAUAUUGCUAGACCUUUAAUUUUUAUUCUAUUGGAUGAUGUCAUUCCUGCUGUUUAUCUCGGGUAGAUUAAACGUUCAUCAGAAUAUUGAGGCAUCAGGACAUUGCUCCCUGUCACACUGGCAGGCUGUUACUUUCUGCCAAGUGCGGGAUCAAGGACCCGUGUCUCUUCACUGCUAUGUGCAACCCCUUAUCAUUCUUGGCUUGUGAACUACCAAGUCUUCUGUUGGUUUUCGUUUCUCCUAGACAAGAAAAAGAAGCCAACCAUGCUUCAGUGUCGCCUGAACUCCAGAGAACCUCUCCAUUUGGUGAAGCAGAGCCCACGAUUCGCCGUCUGCUGUCCUGGUCCUCAGAUUCUACAGUUAACUGCAAACAGAUGUUUGUGUUCCGUCUUACAUUUUCUUCCUCACA